UGCCAGCAGCCGCGGUAAGACGAACCGUACGAACGUUAUUCGGAAUCACUGGGCUUAAAGAGUUCGUAGGCGGCCGUGUAGGUGGGAUGUGAAAGCCCUCGUCCCAACCGAGGAAUUGCGUUCCAAACCACAUGGCUUGAGGAAGAUAGAGGUGAGCGGAACUGAUGGUGGAGCGGUGAAAUGCGUUGAUAUUAUCAGGAACACCAGAGGCGAAGGCGGCUCACUGGGUCUUUUCUGACGCUGAGGAACGAAAGCUAGGGGAGCAAACGGGAUUAGAUA
rnacentral:rRNA from 1 species